rnacentral:rRNA from 1 species
UUCGGAAACGGACGCUAAUACCGCAUACGUCCUACGGGAGAAAGCAGGGGACCUUCGGGCCUUGCGCUAUCAGAUGAGCCUAGGUCGGAUUACCUAGUUGGUGGGGUAAUGGCUCACCAAGGCGACGAUCCGUAACUGGUCUGAGAGGAUGAUCAGUCACACUGGAACUGAGACACGGUCCAGACUCCUACGGGAGGCAGCAGUGGGGAAUAUUGGACAAUGGGCGAAAGCCUGAUCCAGCCAUGCCGCGUGUGUGAAGAAGGUCUUCGGAUUGUAAAGCACUUUAAGUUGGGAGGAAGGGCCAUUACCUAAUACGUGAUGGUUUUGACGUUACCGACAGAAUAAGCACCGGCUAACUCUGUGCCAGCAGCCGCGGUAAUACAGAGGGUGCAAGCGUUAAUCGGAAUUACUGGGCGUAAAGCGCGCGUAGGUGGUUUGUUAAGUUGGAUGUGAAAUCCCCGGGCUCAACCUGGGAACUGCAUUCAAAACUGACUGACUAGAGUAUGGUAGAGGGUGGUGGAAUUUCCUGUGUAGCGGUGAAAUGCGUAGAUAUAGGAAGGAACACCA